AGUGGAAAAGGGCAGAAAAGCAGGGAUCUUCUUCAACUGUCCCUUGUCAUCCAGGAAGUGCUGUGGGUUGAAGUCUUUGGGGCUAGAGAAGAACUUUGGGUCUGUCAUCAGAGAACCCAGUAUAGGAAACACUUCAGUGCCCUGGAAGAGAGAAGAUGGAGUUUAAGAAUAUGGAUAAAUGGAGAAAGGAUCACAAAAGGUGUUAGGGUCUAAAUGAAGAGAUCUGAAAGGCACAGAGUUGGUGGUCUCCUGAGUAAGGGAUAUUAGGGAGUAUGAGUUUUGAGGUGAUGUGAUGUGUGCCACCAGGAGUAGGAGAUUUGAGCUCCAUGGGUUCAUGUUCUGAGACAGGCUGCUAGAGUGACACCAGGCCUUUGUCUCCAGCCCAGGAGUUGAGAUAUUGGAAGGCAUCAAGGCAGAGGAGCAGAUAGAACUUGGAGUUCAAAGCAAUGAGACAAGAAGUUGGAGACAUGUGGAUAAAUCUCCAGAGACACUAAGUCUAGGAAAGGUGACAAUAAUCUAUCUAAUCAGAGGACCCUGGUGAGGCUGACAUAGUAGUUGGGGGAAUAGAGUGGAGUUAGAUAGCUGUAGAUGGAAAGGGGCCCUGAGGCAUCAGGAAGUGGGCUGAAGGCCCCUCCUGAUGUCCAUGGCUGUACCUUGGGGAGGAAGAAGCCACGGAAGGAAGUAUCCUUGGUAAUCCUUCGAGGAAUGCCCAAGGGAGCAAAGUUAGAAAAUCUCUGGAUCUCAUUGAUCACAGCCUGGGUGUAGGGCAUCUUCAUAUGGUCCUCAUAUUGGGGCUGUCGGUUCCUGCCAAUCACUCGGUCAAUCUCCUCAUGGACCUUGGCUGGAAGACAAGGGGUGAUGGAGUGUUUUUAAAAGUCCAGGAGCCUCAAAGCAGCCAUCAACUGUGGAUUAAGUUCCUCAUGGAGGAGAGUGACCCAACAGGCACCAUUUCUGGACUUUUCUUUGGAUCUUAUUCUCAAAGGGUCCAGACAACUAUGGGAAAGGGUGAUUUCCAGCUGCCCUGGUUUAGAUGUCCCAUCCCCAGAUGUUGGGAUCACCUUUUGCAUGUGGAUGAGAAAGGAGUCAAUGAAGUCUCGUGGGGAAUUGGGGUCCAGGGUACUCUGGUUCUGCUUCACUUUCUGUAUCAUGAAGUCUUCCAGUUUAUGAGAAUCCUUGAUGAUCUGUUGCUGUGGUCCGGGCAGGUACUUCAUAACUGAAUGGAACAUGUCAUAGAGCUGGGGGUGGGAGGAGAAAAGAUGGGAAUGAGACGUGUCAGUAGCAACACCCAGUGG